UCGAACGAGGUCGCCUGGGGUAGCAAUAUUCCGGGCGGUUGAGUGGCGCACGGGUGAGUAACACGUGAGUGACCUGCCCUUGGGUUCGGGAUACCCCUUCGAAAGGAGGGCUAAUACCGGAUACGGUCCCCUGGCUGCGAGGCGAGGGGAAGAAAGGUAGCCGCAAGGCUGCCGCACGAGGAGGGGCUCGCGGCCUAUCAGCUAGUUGGGGGGGUAACGGCCCACCAAGGCGAUGACGGGUAGCUGGUCUGAGAGGACGACCAGCCACACGGGGACUGAGACACGGCCCCGACUCCUACGGGAGGCAGUAGUGGGGAAUUUUCCGCAAUGGGCGCAAGCCUGACGGAGUGACGCCGCGUGGGGGACGAAGGCCUUCGGGUCGUAAACCCCUGUCAGAGGGAAAGAAGGUCGGCGGCGUGAACAGCGUCGUCGAUUGACGGUACCUUCAGAGGAAGCCCCGGCCAACUCUGUGCCAGCAGCCGCGGUAAGACAGAGGGGGCAAGCGUUG
rnacentral:rRNA from 1 species